rnacentral:rRNA from 1 species
UACGUAGGGCGCAAGCGUUGUCCGGAAUUAUUGGGCGUAAAGAGCUCGUAGGCGGUCUGUCGCGUCUGUUGUGAAAACUCGAGGCUCAACCUCGGGCUUGCAGUGGAUACGGGCAGACUAGAGUGCGGUAGGGGGAGACUGGAAUUCCUGGUGUAGCGGUGGAAUGCGCAGAUAUCAGGAGGAACACCGAUGGCGAAGGCAGGUCUCUGGGCCGCAACUGACGCUGAGGAGCGAAAGCAUGGGGAGCGAACAGG